AGGAUUUGACCUUCAGCUGCAGCUUGUCAACCAGAUCCUGAAGACGAUGCAGAUUCUUCUUGUCCUCCUCAGUCUACAGAUAAAAAGUCUCCAUACAGGAUCCUGUUGGGGAAGCCCUUUCUGCAGAUUCUGAUGCCUUCAAGCACACCGUUACAGCGCAGCUGGUGCAUGACCAAUGGAUUCUCCAUGGCCCCAGGAGUCUUGGUCUCGUUGGGGAUGAUGCAGCGCACAAAGUGGGGGGCCCCUGACCACUGCAACUGUUUCAGGAAACAGGCUCCUCCUCUGGGUCCACUGGCCAGCAGCAUCACUUUGAGCUACUCUGAGGAGCCCGACUGUUCCUUUCAGCAGAUGGCCACUUCAUUGAGAAUAUGCCCAAGGAAGCAAAAGGAUGGCUCUGUGAUUCUUAAUCACUCCCCCCCCAAUUACGUAUGGAUUUAUUUAAUCUUAAAUGAGGAUUUUGUAGCUGAAUAAAAGACCCUGCUGACACUCAAUGGAAGAUGUGCGUUACUCGUUUGAAGUGGACACUCACCUAUUCAGGGCCGCUGGAAGUUUAAACUGCCGGAGGCAAAAUCAUCUUGUCCCGUCUUAUACAUAGGAUUUGACCUUCAGCUGCAGCUUGUCAACCAGAUCCUGAAGACGAUGCAGAUUCUUCUUGUCCUCCUCAGUCUACACAUACAAAGUAUCCUGUUGGGGAAGCCCUUUCUGCAGAUUCUGAUGCCUUCCAGCACACCAUUACAGCGCAGCUGGUGCAUGACUAAUGGAUUCUCCAUGGCCCCAGGAGUCUUGGACUCGUUGGGGAUGAUGCAGCGCACAAAGUGGGGGGCCCCUGACCACUGCAGCUGUUCCAGGAAACAGGCUCCUCCCCUGGGUCCACUGGCCAGCAGCCAACUUUGAGCUACUCUGAGGAGCCCGGCUGUUCCUUUCAGCAGAUGGCCACUUCAUUGAGAAUAUGCCCAAGGAAGCAAAAGGAUGGCUCUGUGAUUCUUAAUGACUACCCCCAGUUACGCAUGGAUUUAUUUAAUCUUAAAUGAUAUUGUAGCUGAAUAAAAGGGACUGGCGACACUCAAUGGAAGAUGUGCGUCACUCGUUUGAAGUGGACACUCAGACGUCAUUAGGCUACUUACAGUAGUUUCAGGAUCCUGUUGGCGAAGCCCUUUCUGUAGAUUCUGAUGCCUUCCAGCACACCGUUACAGCGCAGCUGGUGCAUGACCAAUGGAUUCUCCAUAGCCCCAGGAAUCUUGGACUUGUUGGGGAUGAGGCAGCGCACAAAGUGGGGGGAGGAGGUGCCGCAACGUUCCCUGGAAGAUGAAGACUGCCCCCCAGUGGACACUCGUGAUGGGGCUUUUGAUCUUGUGCUCUGGUGAUCCAUGCAUUGCUUUCCAGGCGAAUGUGGUGAGGAUUUGACCUUCAGCUGCAGCUUGUCAACCAGAUCCUGAAGACGAUGCAGAUUCUUCUUGUCCUCCUCAGUCUACAGAGAAAAAGUCUCCAUACAGGAUCCUGUUGGGGAAGCCCUUUCUGCAGAUUCUGAUGCCUUCAAGCACACCGUUACAGCGCAGCUGGUGCAUGACCAAUGGAUUCUCCAUGGCUCCAGGAGUCUUGGUCUCGUUGGGGAUGAUGCAACGCACGAAGUGGGGGAUUUGACCUUCAGCUGCAGCUUGUCAACUAGAUCCUGAAGACGAUGCAGAUUCUUCUUGUCCUCUUCAGUCUACACAAAAAGGAUCCUGUUGGGGAAGCCCUUUCUGCAGAUUCUGAUGCCUUCCAGCACACCGUUACAGCGCAGCUGGUGCAUGACCAAUGAAUUAUCCAUUGCCCCAGGAGUCUUGGUCUCGUUGGGGAUGAUGCAGCGCACAAAGUGGGGGUUUUGCUCCUGGUUCAGAGAAGGAAGACACCUUACACUCUGCAGAUGAUGUUGAAGGAUUUACAAGGAGGAUUUCACUUUCAGCUGCAGCUUGGCAACCAGAUCCUGAAGACGAUGAAGGUUCUUCUUGUCUUCUUCAGUCUAGACAAAAGGUUUUUAGAGAUACAACCUAUCUGGCACUCAUCAGCUCAUAUUGAUGAUACUAUAUGAAGUGCGACAAGACCCUGUAGACGAGCUCAACCAGACAAACAAGCUACACCAGAGGAACCAUAUCAGCAAGAAAAGGACUGAAUGGAGGAUGGACCUUAAGUUUUGGAUUUCACCUUCAGUUGCAACUUGUCAACCAGUUCUUGGAGACGAUGCAGAUUCUUCUUGUCUUCUUCAGUCUAGACAAAAGGAUCCGGUUGGGGAAGCCCUUCCUGCAGAUUCUGAUGCCUUCCAGCACGCCGUUACAGCGCAGCUGGUGCAUGACCAAUGCAUUAUCCAUUGCCCCAGGAGUCUUGGUCUCGUUGGGGAUGAUGCAGCGCACAAAGUGGGGGUGAAGAGGGACCUCGUGUGUUGCAAGAGAUUACAUGUCGAGGAAUGAACAAUGUCUGACAUAACAAGCCUCUUCUGUUGCCCUCUUGAAGGACUUCACUUUCAGCUGCAACUUGUCCACAAGAUCCUGCAGACGAGCCAAAUUCUUCCGGUCCUCUUCAGUCUGAUUUGAGGAGGAUCCUGUUGGGGAAGCCCUUUCUGCAGAUUCUGAUGCCUUCCAGCACACCGUUACAGCGCAGCUGGUGCAUGACCAAUGGAUUGCACAUGGCCCCAGGAGUCUUGGUCUCAUUGGGGAUGAUGCAGCGCACAAAGUGGGGGGCAGAAACGGUCUGAAAAGAAGAGCCUUUUUUCUUCUUCUCCUUCCCCUUGGCAUCCACUGCUACAACAAAAUCACAAACAUGUGGUGGUUGAAGAAUUGCUGCAGCUUCUCAUUAGUAAAGUUGAUGCACAUUUGCUCAAAGGUGUUGAACUGAACAAAAAAAGAGAUAUACAAUUUAUGAUGAUAAUAUUGUUAUAGUCAUGAUUAUUCACAUCUUGAAAAAUAACUUGUAACUAUUUAUCAAUAAAAUAUAUAAAUAAUAUAUUUUUUAUUCAGAAUAUUGUUAUAUGUUUUGUGCCCACUUACAUCAAAA